GCUCCUUCAACAACAACAGCUAGUCAGACACCUCGGUAGCUUUCUAGCAAACACAGCUACAACAUUCACGCUCUCUACACUGUUUUUGGUGUAUAUUAGUCGCUGUGUAUUAAACACACUUCUGUUCUAUGUACUUGUUGGCCCAUUUAAUUAUAUGUUUACGUUGUUUGUUUGUCAGGUAGCUGGUUUGCUAAGUUAGCUUACAACUUGUCUAGUCGCUAAUGCUUACAUCUCCGACCAUGAGUUCACUAUGCUACUCUCCUCCUGAUAAAGAAGAGGAGGUCUGCUGGACGGAGAAAGAAGCUCUCGUCAAAGACAAUACAAAAACAAGUAGAGGGUGCUGUUACCGUGAAAGAAGAAGAGAAAGACGUUUCAGUGAAAGAAGAGGAAGACGCGUUCAGAGUGAAAGAGGAGGAGGACGUUAUAGUAAAAGAAGAGGAGGAGGGGGAGAUGACUGUCACAUUGGAGGAAGAAGAGGAGGUUGGAGAUCUGUUUAACACCAGAGAGAGACGGGACUAUUGUGGAUCCUCUGGGGAGCCUCAACAACCUCAUGAUGCUGAAGAGGCAGAGAAGAGUCUCCAGAUCAGAACACCUCAACAAACACCCACAGAGACCCACAGGGAAGAGAACUCUCUGCUGCUCUGACUUUGGGAAGAGAUUCACCUCCUCAUCAGGCAUUAAAAUUCAUCAGAGAAUCCACACAAGAGAGAAACCUUAUAUCUGUACUCAAUGUGAGAAGAGUUUUACUACAUCUAGCCAUCUGACAUUACACCAGAGAACACACACAGGAGAGAAACCCUAUAUCUGUGAUCAAUGUGGCAAGAGUUUUGUUCGAUCUGACCAGCUGACAUUACACCAGAGAACACACACAGGAGAGAAACCAUAUAGCUGUAAUGAAUGUGGGAAGAGUUUUGUUCAAUCUGGCAAUCUGACAGUACACCAGAGAACACACACAGGAGAGACAUCUCGAGAUAAUCUGAUAAAAGAUCAAUGAUCAAAUCAUAGAAAAUACAUACAUGAAGGAGUUGUUUCAUGAUAUCAAUGAAUUAAGGUCACAAUGUAGAAUGUUAACACAUUGUAGUAGGAGUAUUUGAAUAAUGUCACAAUGUAGAAGCCUAAACGUUAGCCCCCUGUUCUAUUGAUUUCAACAAUAUAUGGAUAUUAGCCUUAGGGGAAAAAUCCUGAAUUGAAAGAGUACUAUUUAUGUGAUUAAAAAAAAAAAAUUACUAACAAAAAAAGAGUCGUUACACUUACCAUGUUGGUGACCCACUUGAAUCAAAAUGCAGCUGGCUGUUUUCUACAAACAGAUUCCGUGUGGUUUUUGAGCUAUUAGUUUUAACAGAAGGUGCAACCUCAUCUCCCUCGUCUCGCACAAUUGAUUUCAACAUGAUAUUGGUGAGUGAUGACAAAUAUGUGUUGUGUUCCUUUGUUUAGCGACCCUUAAAUGUAAAUGCAUCUCUCCAGAAUGUAGCUGACUGCUUUCUGCAGGUUGUCCUCUAACCAGUGAGGUGGAAGAUAUCUCCCAUUUCCAUGUUUUUUUAGUUGUUAGUUUCAACAGCAAGUACAACCUGAUUCCCCCCUAAUCGAUAUCAGUGAUUUAUUGCUACUUGUCAAAACAGCGUUUUUGGUGCUUGUGUCCAUGGCGAGGACAACUUGGUUUCUGAUUGUCUCAAGGUGGGCAGUCAAAAGUUGUGUGUUUAGCCAGUGAGUUGCCAUGGAUCAUAUUUUGACUGCAUGUUUUUCCGUAUCGGAGAUGAGUUUUGUUUGGGUUUUUUCCAAGUGGACGAGAGUUCUAGAAGCUAUUGGGUAAAAAAUAAAAAUUAUUGUUUUUAAUUGUUGACAGCCAGUAGACACCAUGUUUAUAUUGGUGAAGGUGAAGCAUUGUAGUUGAUUAUAAUGUGAAAUGGAAGUUGUUUUCUGUUGGUGGAAGGCAUUCACUUAAGGUGUUAGUCUUUGGUUUUCCAGUUAUGUUUUGAGGUUUGGAUUUUAGCUGGUGGUUGUUUUAUGCAACAGAAUAGAGGGUUCUUAGAACUAUUGUGUCUGUGUGUUCUACUGAGGAUUGGCCUCUGGGAGAUAACAAUGACAGGAAAUUUACAAUGUCUUUUGGGUGAUUAAACCUAAAGAGACCGCAUUCCAGAGCAUGAGUUAAUGUUUCUGUUCUAUAUGGUACAAAGGAGAGAUGACCCCAGGGCCAGACCCUGGUCUCUACACAAAGAGUACUGUUUUUACAGCAGCUACUGUCUGCUGAGAAUUAUAAUUAUCUUUCAUACAAAUCAUAAUCUUGUGACCUGUUCUAUACAUCUGUUGUUCAUCAUGUAGGUUGAAUGGGGUUUAUCUUGGCUGUAAAAUACCUUUGUACUUGUCUCGGGGCUCUCAACGAAUCAUAUGGGGGUUGAUUCGUCGACCAGCCAUCAUUAUCGUAGAGCACUCAAUUGAUUCACUUUAUAUGUGUGUGUGUUGUGAAUAAAUAUUUAGUUUAAGAAUAA